AAAGCAGAACCAGUAACUUGCAGUAUGAUCUCAUCAGAUCUCAAAAGCUAAGCAAAAUUGGGUUUAGUCAGUAACUGGAUGGAAGACCUCCAAGGAACAUUGGCUUUCUGCUGUA
rnacentral:rRNA from 1 species